rnacentral:rRNA from 1 species
ACGGUGGAUGCCCUGGCAGUCAGAGGCGAUGAAGGGCGUGCUAAUCUGCGAUAAGCGCCGGUAAGGUGAUAUGAACCGUUAUAACCGGCGAUACCCGAAUGGGGAAACCCAGUGUGACUCGUCACACUAUCAUUAACUGAAUCCAUAGGUUAAUGAGGCGAACCGGGGGAACUGAAACAUCUAAGUACCCCGAGGAAAAGAAAUCAACCGAGAUUCCCCCAGUAGCGGCGAGCGAACGGGGAGGAGCCCAGAGCCUGAAUCAGCAUGUGUGUUAGUGGAAGCGUCUGGAAAGGCGCGCGAUACAGGGUGACAGCCCCGUACACAAAAGCGCAUGUGCUGUGAGCUCGAUGAGUAGGGCGGGACACGUGGUAUCCUGUCUGAAUAUGGGGGGACCAUCCUCCAAGGCUAAAUACUCCUGACUGACCGAUAGUGAACCAGUACCGUGAGGGAAAGGCGAAAAGAACCCCGGCGAGGGGAGUGAAAAAGAACCUGAAACCGUGUACGUACAAGCAGUGGGAGCACCCUUUGGG